rnacentral:pre_miRNA from 28 species
UUAGCAUUUGAGGUGAAGUUCUGUUAUACACUUAGGCUGUGGCUCUCUGAAAGUCAGUGCAUCACAGAACUUUGUCUCGAAAGCUUU